CUUGGAGGGCCACCACUGUGUCCUGGACGAAAAGGAGUUAGAAUUAAAAUUAUAAGUUAGUAUUAGAAUUAGAGAUAGCAGUAGAAGUAGAAUAAGUGUUAGAGGCAAUACAUAUAGUGGAGAAAUUAAUAAAAAGGUUAAAUGUAAUAGUUAGCAUAAAGUAAUGUAAAUAUGCUACACCUAUAUUUUUACUUCUCUGGUUUUCUAGUAAAAUUUCGAGGCAUAAUAAAAUUGUUUAGAGUCACCGAAGCUCAAAUGACGAGACGGAAAGAAAAGAAAAAAGAUAAGAAGAGAUGAGAGAAGAAAAGAGAAGAGAAAGACCAUAAUCAUCAGAAGAGAAGGAAAGAGGGACAGAAUUGUGAAUAGAAAAAGAAAAAUUAAAAUGAGAAAAGAAUAGAGGAGAAAGAGAUAAGAAGAGGA